CUGCCUGCUCGGAGCUGCUUCGGGCUGACCUUGUUUUGAAGCAGCGUGACCUUCAGUCUGCAUGUCCUUGUUCUGUGGUUCAGGAUUCCAGUGUGUAGGUUGGAGAAAUUGCACAGAUUCCAGACAGGCUUUACUGCCUCCAGAACGCCACGGACAGUGUUCUCUCCCUGCUCCUCAGAACUAGUCCCAGCUGCUGAAGGAGAAGCGCACUCUUCACUUGGUCACUGUCAAAAUCAAAUUACCGGGCAAGUAGGUGCUGAUGAGGCCUGUCACUGCACGAAGUUAACUUAAAAACAGAACAGCCUCCAGAACUCUGAGGAAUAAAUGUCUGUGGUUUAAGUCACCAAUCUGUGGAAUUUUGUUAUAGAAGACGAAGAAUGUAAGAGAGCCUUUCCCCCCAAAGGAAGA